CAGUCACUCCUCCCACAGUGCAAUUCAGCAAAAGUGGUGUUUUUAAAAAGCAAUGUAUUCAGCAGAAAGGUUCUCAAUCACUGCCAAGGAAAACUAGAUUUGACAGCACACAAAGACCUUUGGGUUCUGCCAUUGUACUCACAGUGUAGGUUUGUAGAGGAAUUGUUAUUGAAGGACACAUAUCGUUACCCCUGUGUGGGGAUUGAUUUGAAAGAGUCACUGGAAUAUUGUUGUUUAGUGGAGGAAAACAAUUGCUUCAGGAUGCAUUGGCUAACAUUUUUCAUAUUUUUUUUGAGGAUCAACACUUCAUUGUUACAAGCCCUGAAUGAAACUGAUAUUCCUGAAACCCCUAAUGCAACACAUACUGCUCCUGUAAUAAAUAAGCCAAAGAUAGCAACUGUUCUUGUGCCAUGUGUCAUUGGAGGCAUAGUAACACUAGGAAUUGUUUUAUUUUUUCUGGUUAUAAAAAUCCGGGAGACACAGCAUUUGGAGAGGACACUGAGCACUAGGCACCUGGAUCCGACUGGAGUGGCAUUGCCAAGCAAUUCUUUCAAGCUCCCGCCUGUGGAACGACUCAUUUGACAUUCACAGAGACAGUAGAACAUGCGAGGUCUCCGAGUCCUUUAGAAGUACAUCUGGAAUGUCGGGUUGAUCCAGGAACUGGCAGUCCCUAUAACCUUUUACCAGCCAUAACAGAGAGAGAAUCACGAAACAUAAAACAGCACUUCAGCUGAAAAAGAUGAAUCACAUUAUUGGAUAUAAAGCACACAGCUAAAAAUACAGAAUUUGUAGUUGCAGAAAUAUACAUAAACGUAAUGUAAUUCUGUAAGAUAUUUCAGGUGACGUUGAGGUGACCAACCGCAUUGUGAACAGUUGUACAGGCAUGCUGAUCUAUAUUCGAAACCAAAAGCAAUGGGCGUUUUGUUUGUAAUGAUGGAACAAGGGCAGUUGAUGCAGGGCGCAUUAAUGAGGGUUCGUUCCCCAAGGCAUGUAUAAAACCAGGUAUACCCAGGUAUUGAUCAAGUUACUUUAUAAACCAGGUCAUGGGACGGUGAUCUGAAUGAUUUUUUUUGUUGAAAGAAAUAGUUUUUGAGGUAAUAAUGAAAAUGGAUUUGAAGAGUUAAUACUGUUUAUUAGAUUAAUUGUGAUAUACAAAUACUUUCCUGGCCUCAAACCUCUCACAUCCAGGUGGAAGUGAACAGUUAAAAUGUUUGUAUAUUACAGUUAAUUCAGUUAACAUGAACUCAUCAAAUGAUUUGAGUUAAUCGUCUAUUGAACUUAGCAAAUGGCUAAUUUCCUGAAAAUAUUUUCUUCUUUCAACAUGUCUUUAUUGUUUUCUCAUUCCCACUCCUCUUUCUCAAAACUUCUCUUUGCACCAGUACAAUAUCUAUCUGAGCUUUCACUGCACAUAAGCAUCCAGAGACAAGGCAUUUAAUAUAAUGGUGAAUUGAAUGCAUGCAUACAAAUUGGGUCCAUGUGACUAUUGUCUAUUUAGCAAUUCUAGAGAGUAUGAUCUUACCACUGCAGCCCCAAUGCAUUUUAUAUUGUUCAAAAAAAAAAAAAAAAAGCAUUGACUGACUGAUUGUGACACUUUCUAGCUG